rnacentral:rRNA from 1 species
AUUGAACGCUGGCGGCAGGCCUAACACAUGCAAGUCGAGCGAGCGGCGGACGGGUGAGUAAUGUCUGGGGAACUGCCUGAUGGAGGGGGAUAACUACUGGAAACGGUGGCUAAUACCGCAUACUAUCAGAUGAACCCAUAUGGGAUUAGCUAGUAGGUGGGGUAAUGGCUCACCUAGGCGACGAUCCCUAGCUGGUCUGAGAGGAUGAUCAGCCACACUGGAACUGAGACACGGUCCAGACUCCUACGGGAGGCAGCAGUGGGGAAUAUUGCACAAUGGGCGCAAGCCUGAUGCAGCCAUGCCGCGUGUAUGAAGAAGGCCUUCGGGUUGUAAAGUACUUUCAGCGGGGAGGCGUUACCCGCAGAAGAAGCACCGGCUAACUCCGUGCCAGCAGCCGCGGUAAUAC